rnacentral:rRNA from 1 species
GACGAACGCUGGCGGCGUGCUUAACACAUGCAAGUCGAACGGAAAGGCCCUGCUUUUGUGGGGUGCUCGAGUGGCGAACGGGUGAGUAACACGUGAGUAACCUGCCCUUGACUUUGGGAUAACUUCAGGAAACUGGGGCUAAUACCGGAUAGGAGCUCCUGCUGCAUGGUGGGGGUUGGAAAGUUUCGGCGGUUGGGGAUGGACUCGCGGCUUAUCAGCUUGUUGGUGGGGUAGUGGCUUACCAAGGCUUUGACGGGUAGCCGGCCUGGGAGGGUGACCGGCCACAUUGGGACUGAGAUACGGCCCAGACUCCUACGGGAGGCAGCAGUGGGGAAUAUUGCACAAUGGGCGGAAGCCGGAGGCAGCAACGCCGCGUGCGGGAUGACGGCCUUCGGGUUGUAAACCGCUUUCGCCUGUGACGAAGCGUGAGUGACGGUAAUGGGUAAAGAAGCACCGGCUAACUACGU